rfam:Heterocephalus glaber contig104954, whole genome shotgun sequence.
AGCUUUGCACAGUGCCAGUAUUAUAGCCAAUGCAGUUUAUCCAAGGCACGAUCAUUGCUAAUUGAAACCAAAAGCCAAUGCUCAGAUUGUUAUCAGAAAAGCUUCCUUUAACAUACCUGUAAUACUAUACUAAUACUAUAAGU